UACAGAGGUCUCAAGCGUUGUUCGGAAUCACUGGGCGUAAAGGGUGCGUAGGCCGCACGGUAAGUCAGAGGUGAAAUCCCGGAGCUCAACUUCGGAAUUGCCUCCGAUACUGCCGUGCUUGAGGACUGGAGAGGGGAUUGGAAUUCACAGUGGAGCAGUGAAAUGCGUAGAUAUUGUGAGGAACACUAGUGGCGAAGGCGAAUCUCUGGACAGUUCCUGACGCUGAGGCACGAAGGCCAGGGGAGCAAACGGG
rnacentral:rRNA from 1 species